AACUGGAGGGCACAAGGAUGGAAGCAGAGAGUCCUUUUAGGAGGCUGAUGCAACAAAUCCGGUCAACCCUAAAUGGAGCAGAUUAUCCGUACAACAUGGGCAAUACUGAUGAGUAGCACCUACUCCCCUGAAGGAACACAGCUGGAUGCUGCAGAGACCAAUCAACUGAGACAGCUGCCAGCCGGCCCCAGGAUGCUGUGAGAAGACUGCAUCAGAGAAGGAACCUGGUGACUCCUGACUGUGCUACCCAAGAAGACUGUGUGGAAGGAAGCAGCAGACAUCAGCAUGUCCAUUGCACCAAGACUGGAAGCCCAACCAGUGAUUUCUGUAGCAAUUUCUGAAGUUGCUGAGCAAGUGGAUUGAGAGCUUUUAAGAUAACUCUAUACUGAGUAUCAAACAAAGACCAGAAAACACCUAAGAGUGAAUUACUCGUUUCAGCUGCAUUAUUUUAUGGUUUUUAGGACACAAUGGAAAACAAUGGAAGCUCCACAGCUAUUAAUUAAAAACUUUGGGGAUACCACCAAGAACUUCCCAGGUACGUAAUGGUUGGUCCACUGUUCACCCUUCCUUGUUCAAAAAGGAUUUCCUGAGCACCUUCUCUGAUGCUUGCCU